ACUUGUGCUCUCCCGAUCUUUAGUAGAAAUUGCACCAAUAACAAGGUAUGAAUAGGGUAAGUUGAGAAAGUUCACUUCUUGCUCCUCUAGAGAAUCUAGUAGUCUUGAUCAAACGGGGGGCCAUUUGGGUUGGUUAUGGCAUUAAUAUUCUACCUAUGUGAAGUAUCUGGUUACCUAUGCACAUUAGUUCAGAUCACUUAAUAUAAUUGGCAUCUGUCACUCAACAUACUCUUAAAAACUCUGUUGCUCAUUCUAGCCUUGCUUAUUUAAAAACAUACAGGGCCAUACUGAAAUCUGAGGAUUGCUGCUUCAAGGAUCAUUAUGCUCUGUGAAACUGACCUUUUACUCACUUUAUGGAAAAAGACGACUUGCUUAGCACCAUAGCCAUGCUUGUUGAACCUAAGUGGAGCUUCUGAGCUUUGUACUAAUUAAGAUUUUCAUAGUUGUUUUCUCACGGUGGUAGAUGGAUUGUUUGUAAAUAAAUUGGCUUCCAAGAUUGAGUUGACCAGC